rnacentral:rRNA from 1 species
GAUGAACGCUGGCGGCGUGCCUAAUACAUGCAAGUCGAGCGAACAGACGAGGAGCUUGCUCCUCUGACGUUAGCGGCGGACGGGUGAGUAACACGUGGAUAACCUACCUAUAAGACUGGGAUAACUUCGGGAAACCGGAGCUAAUACCGGAUAAUAUAUUGAACCGCAUGGUUCAAUAGUGAAAGACGGUUUUGCUGUCACUUAUAGAUGGAUCCGCGCCGCAUUAGCUAGUUGGUAAGGUAACGGCUUACCAAGGCAACGAUGCGUAGCCGACCUGAGAGGGUGGACGGCCACACUGGAACUGAGACACGGUCCAGACUCCUAAGGGAGGCAGCAGUAGGGAAUCUUCCGCAAUGGGCGAAAGCCUGACGGAGCAACGCCGCGUGAGUGAUGAAGGUCUUCGGAUCGUAAAACUCUGUUAUUAGGGAAGAACAAAUGUGUAAGUAACUAUGCACGUCUUGACGGUACCUAAUCAGAAAGCCACGGCUAACUACGU